AUGUUGUGAGGGAAGAUUCACGGGGUGGUGAGAUAGCUCAUCGGGCAGAGGUGGUGCCACCAAACCUUACCACCUGACGUUAAUCCCUGGCGCCCAGAUGGAGAGAAAAGACUUUGGCAAAUUGCUCUCCCUCUCCACAGGGGCUGGAAUGUAUGCAGGCCUAAAACUGUAAAUAAAAUACCAUGGUGUUUACUAGGUUGGCUAACAAGAUGCAGGCUGAGUAGUCCAACAGUGGCCAUCCACGUGACGAACAGGCUAAGUACCUGCAGCUACUCAGUCAUUCAAGCUGUGUCCCUCGACAGUCCCAAUCUGGUGCUGAAGGUUUAGAGGCUCCUUAUAUGAUCUUGGUCUUCAGCCAGACCAGAAGACUGAAGGAGCUGGGAUAGAAGUCAGGUGAGUUCUGCUAUGAGCAAAGAAUGACAUCAGCCGUGACAGUGAGGACCCAAUAGCCAGCAAGAAACUAGAGGAGGCAGAGAGCACUGUUUGUUCCUCAGACAUCUUCAUUUCUGGACCCAGAGCUGGACAGGGUCUCCCUUCUGUCAGUCCUCCAUGGAAAUGCCCUCACAGACCUGACCACAUGAGAAUUUCAGAGACCGUUCCAGCUCCGAUCAAGUUGAUGAUCAAAUUAUACUGAAGGCUUGGAGAUGGGUUUCAGUCCCGGAGCAUGAAGUUAACUAAUCUCCUUCACCUGCUGAUGUUGCCAUGCUGCUUCAAAAAGCUCCUCUGACCUCCUAGCACAUGUGGCAUCACUGGAGCAGAACAAAGCUCAUCCUCCAAUGAAACCACCGCAGGCUAUUAUACUCACUUUUAUGUUUUAGAGGGGGAAUGAGGAGCAUUCCAGGGAAUCAGCAAGGCCUAACUGCCCCUAACUUCUAUCAAUGGAGUAGCUGAGAUGAAACAAUUGGAAAGAAGCGGCCUGUCUCCUGAACAGCGAAGAAUGUGGAGAAUAAGAAUAUGGCUGACACUGUCAGGAGUGAGGUAGACUGACUGGUUUAUAUGAACAUCCAAAUGACAUUUGUGUCUCUGCUCAAGGAACAGAGAUCUGUGUUCUGAGGCUUUUAUCAAUAACCCCAGCCUGAACUCUAGGAGCCCCAA